UUAUUUUGCUCCAGCAGUAAUGCAGCCGAUGCUUUUAUUCUGAAAGGCUCAGAGCAGGAAAGUGACGUGAAUGGAAUGUCACGGGGUGUAUAGCAGUGGCGCGAACGCUGGCAGGCAGAGAGAAGCCAUGUUUUAAAGUAAACGAGAAAAGGCGUGUUGUCACGGAAUACUCUUGAUUGGCAAAGAGUCCUUAGCACCUGGUUGAUGAGGGAACAAGCUCUUACGGUGUGUUCACAAGCAAGGCAAAUAAAUAAAAAGGAAUUGUGAACCAUCAGUUUGAGAGACCAUCUUUUCAACCGGACGCUACAGUAAGAGCUUGACCCCAAGCUGAGAAGAGCUUCUUUAUAAGGCAAAAGAGUGCUUCAAGAGGCAUGCAAACAAGGCAGCAGCUGGGAUGAUCCCCUUCCCAGUGAACUAAGACCAGUGUGGGAUAAAUGGAAAGAUGACCUAAAGAACUUGGAGAAAAUCACAAUACCCCGGUGUUAUGUUCCUAAAGACUUUGGCCAAAUAGUACAAACAGAGUUGCAUCAUUUUUCUGACGCAAGCUCAUAUGGUUAUGGUCAGUGUUCGUACUUGAGGU